rnacentral:sRNA from 1 species
AAAAUACUCAUCUUAUUAAUCAUCAAUGUCAUGAUCGUUACAACUCCAAACGAAAAUACAAAUGAAAGAGAAAUAAGAACAACAACUCAAAAGCUCAAAAACUCAAUAACACUGAAACUGGAAACCAAUGAUAGGCAAACUCAUGCAGCAACCUGCUUCUCAAAGCACUUCUUGAACCUUGCCUUCAUCCUCGCAUCUGGCUCCCAAGUCUCCUCUGUCACACCAUCGCAGUCCCACAGGACUUUGAUCAAAGGAAUCUUCUUCCGCCGAAGUUCCUUGAUCCUCCUCUCGAGAACCCUCACUGGUCUCGCCUCCAAAGUCAUGUUGGGCUGAAGAUCCUUUGGAAUCUUAGCCAACACCUCAUCAUCCUUGUGAAGACACUUCCUCAGCAUCGACACAUGAAAGACCUUGUGAAACGCACGCAUAACAUCAGGCAACUGUAACCUGUAUGCCACUGGUCCCACCCGCUCAACAAUCCUGAACGGACCCAUGUACCUCGGACUCACCUUAGUCUCUGAGAUAGACCUGUUCGGACAUUGCAACAUGGCCAUCUUGAGAUACACUCUGUUCCCAACCUCAAACUCAAGCUCUCUCCUCCUCUUGUCAACAUAACUCCGUUGUCGAUCCUGAGCUUCCUUUAUGUUCAGCUUAAGAACCCGGAUCCUCUCCGUGCUCUCCUGAACAUAAUCUGCACCAUAUAUGCUCCUCUCCCCCACUUGGGUCCAGCAUAACGGUGUCCUGCAUGGCCUCCCGUAUAACGCCUCAAAAGGAGCCAUCCCAAUACUCGCAUGAUAGUUGUUGUUAUAAGCAAACUCUACGAGACUCAAGUGAUCCGCCCAAUGACCUCCCCAAUCCAAGACACACAUCCGCAACAUAUCCUCAAGCGUCUGAAUAGUCCUCUCAGAUUGCCCAUCUGUCUGUGGAUGAUAAGCCGUGCUCAUCUGCAACUUAGUGCCCAUCUCUGCUUAAAAGGCUCUCCAAAACGCAGAAGUAAACUUGGAAUCCCUGUCUGAUACAAUACUCACAGGUACUCCAUGCAACUUCACGAUCUCGCUCACAUAUUUCUUAGCCAACACCGUCGCUGCGUCGGUUUUUCUGAUGGCUAGAAAAUGUGCUGACUUAGUCAGACGGUCCACGAUCACCCAAAUAGGAUCUUUGGUUCGCGACACAGGUAACCCAACCACAAAAUCCAUCGUGAUAAAAUCCCACUUCCACUCAGGAAUGGAUAAACUCUGCAACAGGCCACCCGACACCUGAUGUUCAGCCUUAACUAACUGGCAAACAUCGCACUCUGCGACCCAAUUAGCUACAUCCUUCUUCAUCCCGACCCACUAAUAAUACCGCUUGAGGUCUUGGUACAUCUUAGUCCCUCCUGGAUGAAUAGAAAACAUGCUCGCAUGAGCCUCACUCAAGAUCUCCCUUCGCAACUCCUCAUCCUUAGGCACACAAACUCGCCCAUGCACAAGAAUAGUCCCAUUAGCUGCAAACUGAUACUCAGAGCCCUCUGCCUUAGAAGCCGCAAUCAACCCCUCAUCUUUCUCCUGAGCCAACCGAACUCUAGUCAGAAGAUCUGCUCGAUCCACAGCUUCCAAUCCCAAUGGCUCUCGUGCCACAACACACAACCGCAAAGCACCAAUCUCACUCACCAAGGCCUCAACACUCUGCCCUGGAGCUGCACCCAUGCGCUUACGGCUCAACGCGUCUGCAACCACAUUAGCCUUACCAGGAUGGUAAGCUAUCUCCAGAUCAUAAUCAGCCAACAGCUCCAUCCAUUGCCUUUGCCUCAAGUUCAGCUCUGGCUGAGUGAAUAUAUACUUCAAACUCUUAUGAUCCGUGAAUACCUACAGUUUCCCGCCAUAAAGAUAAGACCUCCAAAUCUUUAAGGCAAAGAUUACUGCAGCCAUCUCCAAAUCGUGAGUACGAUAGUUGCCCUCAUGCUUCCUCAACUGACGUGAUGCAUAAGCAAUAACCUUCCCACGCUGCAUCAGAACACAACCCAAACCAACUCUCGAGGCAUCAGUAUACACCAUGUAAGGCUCUCCAUGCUCUGGCAAUGCUAACACUGGUGUACUCGUCAACAUCUCCUUCAGACUCACGAAACCCUCCUCGCACUCCGGUGACCACACAAAAGGGACAUCCUUCCUUGUCAGCUUAGUCAUCGGCUGUGCCAUACUCGCAAACCCCUUGACGAACCUCCUAUAAUACCCUGCCAACCCAAGAAAACUCCUGAUCUCAGUGGCAUUCGUCGGUCUAGGCCACUCUCUAAUUGCCUCAAUCUUCCCUGGAUCUACUGAAAGUCCCUCUUCAGAAACAAUGUGACCUAGAAAACCCAUCUCUCUCUGCCAGAACCUGCACUUGCUCAACUUAGCGAACAGCUUCUGCUCCCGCAGUUUCUCCAUCACUCUCCUCAGAUGUACCUCAUGCUCCUCAUGACUCUUAGAAUACACCAGGAUGUCAUCAAUAAAGAUGAUCACAAACUCAUCCAAAAACUCCUGAAACACGCUGUUCAUUAACCUCAUGAACACUGCAGGUGCAUUAGUCAAACCGAAAGGCAUCACCACGAACUCAAAAUGUCCAUAUCUCGUCCUGAAAGCAGUCUUACGAACAUCUGCCUCCUCUAUCGGGAUCUGGUGAUAACCCGACGUCAAAUCGAUUUUGGAGAAACAAGUAGCACCCCUCAACUAAUCCAACAACUCAUCGAUCCUUGGCAAAGGGUACUUGUUCUUCACAGUGACCCGGUUUAACCCCCGGUAGUCAAUACAUAAGCGGAAACUCCCGUCCUUCUUCUUCACAAAUAACACCGGCGCUCCCCAAGGUGAAGUACUAGGACGAAUGAAUCCCUUACCCAACAAAUCCUCUAGCUGCUUCUUCACCUCUGCCAUCUCUGCUGGAGCCAUCCUGUAGGGUGCCUUAGACAACGGCGCUGUCCCUGGUUCCAACUCAAUCGUGAAAGGAUCAGACCGUGAUGGUGGUAAUCCCUGCAACGAUUGAAUCACAUCCUCGAACGCUUGAACAACUCGAAUGUCGCUCACUGCUACCUGCCCCACAGACUCCGGCAUAGAUAUUGUCACCAGGUAAGCCUUGCAGCCCUUCUCGAUCAUUUUUUCUGCCUGCACUGCUGAGAUGACGAGACUCCCUGAGGUAGGUCUCACUCUCUGAUAAACCAACCUCCCCUCUAGCCGCUAAAAAAAAACUCUCCUACGGUGGCAGUCAAGAUGUACUCUGUAAUGAUCCAACCAAUCCAUUCCUAGAAUAACAUAAUACAAUUCUACAAGACUGAUAAUCAAAUUUGCUGGCAUCGACUCCCCUGCAAUCUGAAUAUCCACACCCUUCGCUCUCCCCAAAACCGCUAGAAACUGCCCUCUAGCAACAUUGACGGCUCCAAACUGCUCACCAGGAUCCCCGCGGAUGUUGCCGCACGAGGCACUCUCCGGGGUAAUGAAGCACUGCGAUGCUCCUGAGUCAAACAACACAUGGGCCUCUACACCGCCCACUAAUAAGGUCCCAGUAAUCGCUCUGUUGCUGGUACCGCCUAUCUCACGCGUAGUGUAACCCUGCGGUGCUGCUGCAAUAUGUGCUAACUGCUGCACUCCCUGCUGCACCAGCGCUCCGUGCUGCACCGCCGGCUGUAUUACAGCCACUGUCAUCCGCUACAGCUUAGGACAAUUUUGCCUGAGAUGUCCCCUCUCCCUGUAGUGUUAGCACUCCCUCGUCUCAGCUCGCUGCGUGCAAUCCGCUACCUUGUGGUCAAGGCUCCCACAAGAAAAACAAUAUGCCCGACCACCCUGUCCAGCUCUGGAAGGAUGAUCCCACUUCCUCUUCUGCCCAUGCGCAGGCUUGACGCCCUUGGUAGGUGCACCUGCUGCUGAGUCUUCUUCGGUUGUACCGCUGGACUCACUGCCACCACCUACCUUUGAAGGUCCUCCUCUACCUCAGCAGCCGUCUCCACCAGUGCCGCCUUCGUGGCAUACUGCGACACUCUACACCGCACCCUCAAAUUCUGUCGAAGUCCCCUCAAGAACCUCCUCAUCUAGGCCUGGUCAUCCUCCAUGCCCCGACCCGCAUACACCAAGUGUCGGUUAAACUCCCGGUCAUACUCCCGAACCGACCGCUCGCCCUGUGUCAGCUCAAGAAAACGCGCCUCUAUACGGUCGAGCGCCUCCUUCGGAAAGUACUUGGCAUUAAACUCAGCCACAAAAUUUGCCCAAGACAUAUCUGCCUGCCUCCUCCUGGCAGUCACACUCCGCCACCACAAAUGUGCAUCCCCCUCUAGAAAAUGCACUUCUAGAUCCACCCGAUACUCUGUUGGACAUCUGCUCGAACCGAAGUUCCGCUCAACCCGCGACCUCCAACUGUCGGCCUCCUCGGGACUAGUACCACCAGAAAAACACUCGGUGCCAAUCCUCUGCAACUACUCCUUCAUCCUCAAAUAAGAUGGAACCUCCUCAGCAACCGCAGCCCUCUGCUGCACCUCCCCCACUCGUGGCGCAACUCGAGCCUGCACUGGUACCACACCUGGUAACCGCUCCAACUCUGGAACCUAGGCUCUUCUGGCUGCGGCACCCAUCACUCCUGGGCCCUCAGCACCAAUGGCAUGCACACCGGCACCGACACCAGCUCCACCAGCCCACACUCCGGCUGCACCAGCUAUAUCGACACCAAGACUGUCCCUAACCCCGGGCUCCACAAACUUAGGCUGCGAACCCACACUCUGCUCAAGUGUGGCACUGUGGCCAUCACUCUCGCCGGUACCCUCGAGGACUCGUCCCCUACCGCGACCACGACCACGAACUCCAGCUCCUCUAACCAUCUGCGCUACUCAAGAACAAAUGGCUAAGAAACUAAAACAAACGAAUAUAUCACAAACAACUUACCGUGGAAUCUCAUUUAAGGCUCGAAGAAGAUGAUGCUAGGACUCCAACAACCCAAAAUUGACUAAACACUCCAUAACUAAUCCUCAGUAUGCUAACACCCUAGCUCAUCCCACAUCAAUCAUCAGGAAAAUAAUUUAUCAAUUAAUUAUUCUACACAUCCUAGAACCGUGAUCGUUCUGAUACCAAAUUGAAACAACCCAACCCAUUUUUUUAAAAUAAAUUAAAUAUUCCCAUAAAUAUCUAAUUAAACCAACCAAUAAAAUAACAAUUAAACCGCAAAUCAAAAAUAACAUUUUAUGAAUCACUAAAUAAUUUGACCAACAAAACCAAGAAUAACUAACAAUCCUAACUGGGUUCCAAUAACCAAAAACACCAAAAAUAAAACAAACGAGUUCCUAGAUCAUCCUCUCUUCCUUGCCAUGAUUCAACGAUCACACUUUAUCUUUACCUGCAUCAACAACACAAUGAGAUGCGUAAGUAUUAUCAUAAAUACUUAGUGAGUCGAUCCUCCCAUCUACGAGCUAUACACACAAGCAAAUAAAAGGGUAUAAUCACAAACACAAUACAAACAAACCAGUCAUUGAACAAUUCACCCAAAACACAUUCACCACACCUACAUAUCAUCACACAAAACAAAUUACACAACCCAAUCGCUCAGAUAAGCUCAUGGUCACGCACUCACCUUAACAAAUUGAUUCUAAUAACAAUUAAACUCAGGAGAGACUCUCCUUGCGUCUGAAACAGUCCAGAAACGUCGUACAACAAGUCACAACCAAAAGAAACCUUGAAGCAAACUGGACAAGAAAAACAGAAACAAACAACCUCAAACACGAAACCCUAAAAUACAAAG